CCACGUCCCGACGCACCAUCCCCCCCGGCGCCGGGACCUUCCGAAGCCGGGCUCCGGCACCCAUCCCCCCUGGGUGCCGGAGCCCGGCUCUCUU
rfam:Streptomyces sp. MTSC 1 11, whole genome shotgun sequence.